rnacentral:lncRNA from 1 species
CACCCGAAAAUUAUUACUGCAUUUUACCUUCUAAGUGAACUUAAUUCAAACUAAGAAUUUCCUUAAUCUGAAUGGUAAAAUUUAGUUACAUAAAUAUUAGUAAGAAUUGCAUCGCGGGUGCAAUAGCUAGAGUAUUUCCAUGCAAGUUACUUUAUACAUUAUCAAUGGUAUGCAUUAUUCCUCAUUAGAUAUUUUCUAAAUAAUUCUUGUAUUAUCACAAUACACAUAAUAUGCUCCAUUAAGGUUAGGCAGAAACCACGUAGAUAAGACUAUGUCGCGACAUAGGAUAGCAGAUCUGCACCCCAUACAGUUUGGUACUCCAGCUACAGGCUGUUGAGUGGAUAUGAUUUAUAUACGGGCCAUAACAGCCCAGCCAUACAGUAUUCAUCCAGUUUCAUACAGUUCAUACAGUUUUUCUUAUCACUUUGGUUUCACUAUAACCUUAUGGAGCCAUGCAGUUAUGUGAUUUAUUAUUUAUAAAGUAUACGAUGGUUAAUAAAAGUUGCAAAAUUUAUACAGCAUCAUGAACAGCAGGUAAAAUCAUGAAAGUAUAAUGAUA